UCAUUCUCGGCUCCCCUGUUGCUAGCUUCUUUCCGUGCCACAUUGCUAACUACUAACUGCUAUGGGAAUGACCCGGGUAGGGAGAAGGUCAGGUCGCUCCGUCGCUGCACGGGGCCAUCCAGAAGCUCGACAUGUACAAGGGCAUUUCCACCGGCAAUCGAUCAGGAUAGGAGCGCAGGACAACUCUGAGGUCAUGAGCAAGCACCUGCGGCGAAUUCGGGUUCAUGCCUCAUCCCUUGGCUCACUCCACUGUUUGUUUCUCCUCAGCCCUUUAUGUGCUUGCUCGAGUUAACAUAAUAAACUUGGUUGUUCUGAGAGCUACUAGGACAAAUUUACAACCUUUACUAGUCUGCAACCAUUGUCACCAGGCCACUGUAUGUAUCAUUACUCUCCUUGGAGUUUCAGGUCCAGCAGCUCACAAAGUUUAAGUCUUGUCACAAACUUUUAAUGUUUUCGCUUUUGAGCAUCAAUCAUUAGUCAGUCUAUGACCCAAACCUAGGUUCCUAAGGGGCUGCUUGGUUCAGGCGCCACAGGCUGUGGCGUGGCUCGCCACGGCCGGUAACCAAGCAGCCCCUAAAUUUGGUAUUGAUCUGAACUCUACAAUUUCUUUUUUAAAAAAUGUUUUAGUCUUUGCUAUCUGAACUUUGAAAUUAGUCAUACUUCUGAUGUUGCUUUUGGCUAGUUACUGGUUUCUGCCUUUCUGGGAUACAGUUUUUCUUUUUAUGAAACGAUUUCUGGGAUACAGCUUGGUUUACUUACCUGCAGAAACAACCUUUUUCUCUCUUAUACCAUUCAAUCUCUGUAGCUAUUGAACUAAUACAGUUAUUUCGUGAUUCAAAUGUAGGAAUUCACAAAAGUGAUAGCCUUUAGCAUUUCUUAUCGUGAAGUAUAAUUCUAUCAGGUUUGUAUAUAGUAUCAAGCAUGUUAAAGAAAACUCUUUGCCUGCAAAAAAGAGUGGGUCCUAUUUGGAAAAAAAUGUGGUGAGGAUUAUUUCUCGGGGAAAGCUCACAGCUCUCUGGUUAUGAUUAACAGGUGAAUGCUCAUAAUCUAGCUGUGCCCUAGACAGAUUCUUAGCUUGUCUGACAGACAUACAAUGCAAAAGACACCUUUGUCAAAUAAUAGAAGGCUUCCUUUAAAGGAAAACCUACUUUAUUUAUAACUAAAAGCUCCAGUUACAUGAUGUUUGAGAAAAAAGGGUUUCAAAUAAGCAAGUACAAGAGGAAAUAAAGUGUCACGUUAGUCAUUGGCUGAUGCUUAGAAUCAAUCUGACAAUUAAAAUUUACAAAAGAAAACUUUCCAAGUUGCUCUUCUUCCGAGAGCCCUUCUUAGCUGCCAUAUGCGGUAGCUUUCCAAUCCCAUAACUGAAGGAGCGGUUCUUGUGUGGUAGUAUCCGAGACCUCCUUACCUUGAUUCUCCCUCUACAUUGCAGUUCAUUUCAGUUUGAUGUCACUUGAUGUCCCAAACCUGGCGAACAAAAAUCACUGAAAAGCAAACCUUUUAGGUUGCCUUCUUCCCAGAGCGCUUCUUGAUUGUGGUGCGGCAUGACUUUCGUAUCUCACAGCUGAAAAUGUGGUUCUUGUAUGGUGGCAUUUGGGACCUUCAUGCUAGGACCUCGAUUCUCCCUCUACAUUCCAUAGUUCCAACUAGGAUAUCCUCAAAUGUUAUAUUGGGAACUUCCUCGUGACCAGAAUUUGUUUGAUACUGAUUAUGGACCACACAAAAUUCAGCAUUGGCCAUUCUCUGAAAAAUCGUCAAAAUUCAGCAUUGGCCAUUCUCUGAAAAAUCGUAGGCUUAUUUUUUUUUUUGCAUGAGGGCACAUGGAUGUUCACCAAACAUGGAGGUGUUCCUUUGUAUAUGGAGCCUUGUAAAUUUAAGUGCUCUCGACCAAAAUUGAGCAUUAAGGAUCUGUACUGCCAAAUGUGAGCACCUUGAAGAAAUACCAGAAUGCUUCUCUGGUUAGAUGGUUCAAUACAAGAGCUUGUGUGGUACCAAAUUCAAUGAUUUUUCUAGAUUGACAUGUGAUUAUGACUUUGCUACCGCUGGCAAUUCCACCAACAUAAGUUGAAUAUAUGUUUUUCCAUGUAUCCUCGUCGAUAUCCUUUGGCAAUUCAAUGAUAAGUAGCAGCGCUUUAUUU